GAUAAACGCUGGCGGCGUGCCUAACACAUGCAAGUCGAACGAUCCCGCAAGGGAGAGUGGCGGAAGGGUGAGUAACACGUGGGAAUCUACCUCCUCGCAGGGAACAACCUCUCGAAAGAGAGGCUAAUACCCAAAAGGGUCAGAAAUGAUCAGAGUCGAAAGGCGUGAGGAGAGGAGCCCGCGGCCCAUCAGCUAGUUGGUGAGGUAAUGGCUUACCAAGGCUACGACGGGUAGGGGAUCUGAGAGGAUGUCCCCCACACUGGAACUGAAACACGGUCCAGACGCCUACGGGUGGCAGCAGUGAGGAAUAUUGGACAAUGGGCGAAAGCCCGAUCCAGCAACGCCGCGUGGAGGAUGAAGGCCUUCGGGUCGUAAAGCUCUGUCUGGAGGACGAAGGAAGUGACGGUACCUCCGGAGGAAGCCACGGCUAACUACGUG
rnacentral:rRNA from 1 species